UUGAUCCUUGCUCAGGAUGAACGCUGGCGGUAUGCUUAACACAUGCAAGUCGAACGGGCUCUUCGGAGCUAGUGGCGGACGGGUGAGUAACGCGUGAGAAUCUGGCUUCAGGUCUGGGACAACCACUGGAAACGGUGGCUAAUACCGGAUGUGCCGAGAGGUGAAAGGCUUGCUGCCUGAAGAUGAGCUCGCGUCUGAUUAGCUAGUUGGUAGUGUAAUGGACUACCAAGGCGACGAUCAGUAGCUGGUCUGAGAGGAUGAUCAGCCACACUGGGACUGAGACACGGCCCAGACUCCUACGGGAGGCAGCAGUGGGGAAUUUUCCGCAAUGGGCGAAAGCCUGACGGAGCAAUACCGCGUGAGGGAGGAAGGCUCUUGGGUUGUAAACCUCUUUUCUCAGGGAAGAAGACAAUGACGGUACCUGAGGAAUAAGCAUCGGCUAACUCCGUGCCAGCAGCCGCGGUAAUACGGAGGAUGCAAGCGUUAUCCGGAAUGAUUGGGCGUAAAGCGUCCGCAGGUGGCUGUGUAAGUCUGCUGUCAAAGAGCAAAGCUCAACUUUGUAAAGGCAGUGGAAACUACACGGCUAGAGUGCGUUCGGGGCAGAGGGAAUUCCUGGUGUAGCGGUGAAAUGCGUAGAGAUCAGGAAGAACACCGGUGGCGAAGGCGCUCUGCUAGGCCGCAACUGACACUGAGGGACGAAAGCUAGGGGAGCGAAUGGGAUUAGAUACCCCAGUAGUCCUAGCCGUAAACGAUGGAUACUAGGCGUGGCUUGUAUCGACCCGAGCCGUGCCGUAGCUAACGCGUUAAGUAUCCCGCCUGGGGAGUACGCACGCAAGUGUGAAACUCAAAGGAAUUGACGGGGGCCCGCACAAGCGGUGGAGUAUGUGGUUUAAUUCGAUGCAACGCGAAGAACCUUACCAAGGCUUGACAUGUCGCGAAUCUUCUUGAAAGGGAAGAGUGCCUUCGGGAGCGCGAACACAGGUGGUGCAUGGCUGUCGUCAGCUCGUGUCGUGAGAUGUUGGGUUAAGUCCCGCAACGAGCGCAACCCUCGUUUUUAGUUGCCAGCACUUAGGGUGGGCACUCUAGAGAGACUGCCGGUGACAAACCGGAGGAAGGUGGGGAUGACGUCAAGUCAGCAUGCCCCUUACGCCUUGGGCUACACACGUACUACAAUGCUCCGGACAGAGGGCAGCAAGCUAGCGAUAGCAAGCUAAUCCCAUAAACCGGAGCUCAGUUCAGAUCGCAGGCUGCAACUCGCCUGCGUGAAGGAGGAAUCGCUAGUAAUUGCAGGUCAGCAUACUGCAGUGAAUUCGUUCCCGGGCCUUGUACACACCGCCCGUCACACCAUGGAAGCUGGUAGUGCCCGAAGUCAUUACUCCAACCUUUCGGGGGGGAGGAUGCCUAAGGCAGGACUGGUGACUGGGGUGAAGUCGUAACAAGGUAGCCGUACCGGAAGGUGUGGCUGGAUCACCUCCUUU
rnacentral:rRNA from 1 species